CUCACUCCUCGCCAGUGGAACUCAGUGCAUGACCAGAGAGACUCAGCACAAGAGAAACUGAAUGACGUCUCCUGUCUGUCAGAUGGUACCUAUGAAAACGAUGACAGGGACAGGCCUCUAUUCACUCGCUUGCCUUCUCAUGAUAAGUAGUGUCCGUUCUACCUGUGUUCCUUUGGAGUGUCUGAGGUGUGACAUAAUCCCCUCACCUGAAGUGUCUGGGAAUCACAAAGCAGAUGAGGCCAUCUGUGAACACCUGUGCUCUAACACCACCCAAUGUCUCAAUACCACUGAUGUAGAGAAUUGCAUAAAAGAUUUUGAAGUGUUUCUGAACACCAGUUAUGGGUUUGAAGUGGAGGAGGGUGAUGACCUCACAAUGGAGUGUGCCCACGACCUACCGGUGAGAGAUCAUGACCUGCUGGUGUUUGUCUGGCUGAAGGAUGGGCUUCCCCUGAAGGGCGAGAACAAUAGCACGGUCACCUUGGAGAGGAUAGGAAUAGAUACCCCUGCUGAGGGGAAAUACACCUGCACCAUCCAGAGUCCCUGUGGCAACUUCACCUCAGAUCCAGAAGAACUUGAAUUUAAAGACCUGACAGCGGUGAUCAUUGUGAUCUGUGGUGUGUCUGCGGUGGUGCUGGUCCUGGCCCUGGGCAUGGGCAUCAAGCUCAUGCUGCAGAAGGACUUUGCGAAGACCAAGACCAGGAUGCAGCAGAAUACUCAGAACCUACAGAACACCGCCAACACAACAGAGUAGGGUUUCCUUUUUUCCAAAAACCUACCCAUUUUCUUCCUGAGAAAAUUGCAAGCUUUUCCCGGGCAUCCAUGUAUUCCCGUUAAAACAGGAAAGGCUUUUUAAAAGAAUAUAAUGUGAGCAAAAAAAAUCUGAUUCACUGUAAAUGGAGAAACAUACACACGUGUCUAACUGUUUCUUGCUCUAUUUGUUGCAAUUUAAAGGUCCAGUGCAGACGUUUUUAUCUCAAUAUCAAAUCAUUUCUGGGUAACAAUUAAGUACCUUACUGUGAUUACUUUAAAUUAAAAUGGUAAAAAGAUUUUAAAAAAAUGUGCUUCUUACCAAAGAGCAUUUUGCUAGGACUGUCUGGGACUGGCCUGAGUGGUGAGGGGAAACUGAACAUGUUCUGUUAUUGGCAGAGAGGUUUGGAACUCUCUUUCUUAUUGGUCUAUUAACUAAUUUACCGCCUCCAAAACUUUCAAAACUUUUCACAAAUUCACAGUAUUAUUCCAAACUCUAGGAAAUCACGUUUUUCACUGCACUAGGCCUUAAAUCAACAUAAAGUUCCCUCAAAAUCAC
rnacentral:lncRNA from 1 species